UUGUGAAGAUAUCUCCUAACUGCUUUCCGGUUUUGACAUGUCCUGUUGAGAUAAUCUUCUAUUGAAUCUUUUUUCAAAGGAAGUGACAAUCAAUUUCAAUAUGCUUAGUACGCUCAUGAAACACUGGAUUUGAGGUGAUAUAGAGAGCGGUUUGAUUGUCACACCAUAGUUUGGUAGGAGAUGAGGACUCAAAACCCACUUCUUCUAAUAACUGACGUGUCCACAUUACUUCACACACAGCUCGAUAUUCUAAUUCAGCACUCGAACGAAAAACUAUAGUCUGUUUCUUACUUCUCCAAGAUACUAAGUUUCCUUCAACAAAGAUACAAUAUCCUAUAAUGGAUCUCCUAUUAAUCUUUGAACCUGCCCAAUCAAUUGUCAAAUCAGUUCCAAUGC
rnacentral:misc_RNA from 1 species